rnacentral:rRNA from 1 species
UACGAAGGGGGCUAGCGUUGCUCGGAAUCACUGGGCGUAAAGGGUGCGUAGGCGGGUCUUUUAAGUCAGGGGUGAAAUCCUGGAGCUCAACUCCAGAACUGCCUUUGAUACUGAAGAUCUUGAGUUCGGGAGAGGUGAGUGGAACUGCGAGUGUAGAGGUGAAAUUCGUAGAUAUUAGGAAGAACACCAGUGGCGAAGGCGGCUCACUGGUCCGGUACUGACGCUGAGGCGCGAAAGCGUGGGGAGCAAACAGG